CGUAUCACCCAAGACAACUUUACGGAGUUGACGAUUGACGGAGCGAAGCGACGUCAAAGCGUUCAUUAAAGUCGAGUUGGCUUAGGGAUACGUUCGUUGGGUAGGGGAGCGUUCUGUAAGCCUGUGAAGGUGUGUCGUGAGGCAUGCUGGAGGUAUCAGAAGUGCGAAUGCUGACAUAAGUAACGAUAAAGCGGGUGAAAAGCCCGCUCGCCGGAAGACCAAGGGUUCCUGUCCAACGUUAAUCGGGGCAGGGUGAGUCGACCCCUAAGGCGAGGCCGAAAGGCGUAGUCGAUGGGAAACGGGUUAAUAUUCCCGUACUUGGUGUUACUGCGAAGGGGGGACGGAGAAGGCUAUGUUGGCCGGGCGACGGUUGUCCCGGUUUAAGCGUGUAGGUGUGUGUUCCAGGUAAAUCCGGUUCACUUUAACACUGAGGCGUGACGACGAGGCACUACGGUGCUGAAGCAACAAAUGCCCUGCUUCCAGGAAAAGCCUCUAAGCAUCAGGUAACAUCAAAUCGUACCCCAAACCGACACAGGUGGUCA
rnacentral:rRNA from 1 species